ensembl:lncRNA
GAUAACUGGUUCAGGGGGAGGAUAGAUAUCAGAGAAAGAUGCUCCACUUCCAAGCAGCCCUGCUGAUGGCCCUGAUCCUGGGCACAGCUCUUCCAGUCACUCAAGCAGGCCCCUAUGGAGUAAACAUGGAAAACACUAUUUGCUGCAAGAACUUCGUUGGAUUUCCUAUACCUUUGAAGUUCCUGAAUUAUUUCUACUUCACCUCUAAAACCUGUCAGAAACCUGGAGUGAUCCUGGUAACAAAAAGAAAUCUUAAGAUUUGUGCAGACUCUCAGAAGCCCUGGGUAGAACAUGCCAUCAAGACUAUCAAAAAGAAAAAAACAUGAGGAUUCCAGCUCUGCUAUGAAAGUACCAAAGACCUCUUUUUCCAGAUAUUGUUCCUAGAUGCCGCCUCCUUGAUCUCCAUCCUAUAUGGAAGAAUCAGUAUAGUUGCUGUGUACAGGGUUGGGCCAUGCCCAGAAGAAAUAGGCUAAGAUCAACCAGUGUGACCUCUGUUUUAAAGUCCGGCAAUUAUAUCUGCCAUUUCCAUUUCCCAUUCCUCUUUCUCUCUUUUUUACUCCACUUCCUCGGGUCUUCCCCUAAUCUGGAGGUCCAGUGUCCCUAUAACUGCUAUCCUUUUCCCCCUACAAGCCACCUCCAGUCCUGCUUUCUCCUCCAAUGUCCUGUGGCAAAGAUCCUUAAUUUUUGUCAUGGAAUUCAUCUCAGAAUAGUGGCUUAAAAUGCAUAAAAUAAAAUACAUAGGAUUACAAAGGAAACCAAUUAUAUUGAAAGAAUUAUCCAAAAAAAAUUUUUUUUAAUUCUCAAACCCUUAUAGUAUAAAAUGAUUCCUUCCUUCCUCUCCAAAAACAUUUCCUCGGUUAGUUAAGGCCUGUAACAAAUGAUCCAAUAAUUAAAGCAUGAGUGUGAAUUACUUAAAAAUGGCUUUAUAUGUUUACAGUACUAUCAUCUCACCCCUCCUGUCACUUCCAGCCAAUUGCAUUUUAAAAGAGGACACAACUAACCCAAAGAAGAAAAUCUCUAAUGACCAAUUUAUUUUAAGCACCUUAGACACCUGAAUGGAAGAGAAUUUCAUUUUCUCAGGAUGAGAGUAGGGUUUGACUGGGAACUUUUGGGUCCCAGGGUACAAAUCCUAGUACCUUCUGAGAGGUUCCUAGGAAUCCUCCUAUUACUGAAGAGAGAAUUAAGAGAAAUCUCCAGGUUCCUCUAGGACAUGAUGGUCAGAAAGGGAAACUAGAUUUGCUGCCCAAUCCUUGAAAGAGGACCAGUACUGAGAUCCUGACUGCACUCUGAAAAUAACUAAUAGAAUUAUUCAGAAGGGAGAGAUCUCUUUUCAUAGCUUUAUAGGAUUUAGAUCUGAAAAAACUUUGGAGAUUAUUCAGUCCAUUUUAUAGGUGAGGAUAUUGAUUUCUAGAGAAGUGAAGUGAUUUUCCCAACAUCAUAGAAGUGAAGGGGUUAGCCACCAAAUGAUGGGGUGUAGGGUGCAGAAGCAUUGACUCCCCCAAAUAUAUCGGGGUUUCAGGUCUCCCCAUGCAACCAUCAAAUGUUAGGUAGAGGAGGUUUUGGAUCCCAAAAAAUAUUUUGGUAUUUCAGGCUAUUGUCUCGAGAUAUCUCAAAAGAAUAUGUAGGUUUAGACUAUUUGCAAAUCAAAAGGCAAAGAUUUUAUUGUUGUCAUUGUUUAGCAUGCUAAGUUCCAAAAAGGAGUUAACCAUUAACAGAGAGGGAAACUCCAGAGCUAAGUUCCCUAGCAGAACUCACAAUUAAUCAGGAGCAAGAUACCUAAGGCAGGUGAAUUUGCUGCCAUAAGAUGGACAUUUCCUAAUGAACCUGUAAAGAAUUGUGGGAUUACUCCAUUGACUGGCAGGCUAAUAAGUUAGCUAUAACUAGGAAAAAGACAUUGGGGGGGGGGGGGGGGGAGAAGGCAGUCUCCUAAUGAACCUACCAUGCCAUAAGGUGGGCUAGAUUCCUAACUAAGGAGUUUAGCAGGGAGUCAGGCAGCAAAUCUAAUUUCCCUUUCUGGCCAUCAUGAGAUUUCUCUUAAUCGCUCUCUUCAGUCACAGGAUCCCCAGGAACCUCUUGGAAGAAAAAUAACCUCUCUGGGUGACAUUAUAACUUGGCUUUCUGUUUAUACAGCACCUGCGGAGUUAGGAUGCUUUUGUCAAGGCAAAGAACUCUAGGAGAGGAAUUCGGCCUAGACUUGCCGCAAUAAAGGCCAACUUAGUAUAACAAAAGGCCUAAUCAAAAUCUAAAGGUUCAUUUAAAGAGAUAAUUACUUCAGCGUUCCUCUCUGCUGGUUUCUCGAUUGUUUACAGUAAUUCAUGCUCUGUUAACAGCCAGCUAGUGACCAGGGACCUAAUGCAGAAGCAGGGCCUCAAACCCAGGCCCUCUGAGUCUGCGCUUUGCGCCAAGGGUGAGCGGGGAUGUCAUACCCUGGCAAUUCUUGCGCGGGUGCUUGUGGAUCCCACAGGCCCCGACCUACCUUCCUCCUCCCUCCGAGACUACCUUCUGUAGGUCAAAAACCCUGCAGCUGGGCUCGGGAGACCUCCAAUGCUCCUAGCUAUGUGGCCAGGAGCAAAGUCCGUUGUCCCUCCAAAUCUCACAUUUCCUCAGCUAUGGAAGUGGGGAUAAGGAAGCUGGCACUCCCAUCCCCAAGCUUUUUUUUUUUUUUUUUUGGAAAGCUUAUCCCUCCUCCCUUAAAUGGUUUCCCCUUCCUCCCACACCCACCUUUUGAAAUCCAUCCCCUCUUUAGGACCUAAUUCAGCUUCCAUUUCCUUCAUGAGACAUUGGAUCUCCCCAGCAAAAAGAUUCUUUUUUUUUGAAUCUCCCAUACCUUUCUUGACUGACCUAAUAAUGCAUUUAUAAUGUUAUAAUUCAUAUUAGAAUGUCCGUGUUUUUGUCUUCUCACCUUGUUUCCCUUCCCUAAUCCCACCGUUCCAGACCCAAUUGUACACUCCCCACGGAGAUGGAGUAAAAAGUUUAUGGAUACUUUAUGUUCCUUACUUGUAUUCUGUGAAUUGUGUUUUAGGGAAAAGUGGGUAAAUUAGAAUCACAGAAUUUCUGGCCUGGAAGAGAUUUCAAAGAUCAUCUAAUACAACUGCUUCAUUUUCUAUAUGA